CGAUUAAUAAAUAGACAAAGGAUAUAUGAAUGCCUCCUGUGGCGGCAGCCAAGUAGGGGAAGUCUAGAGGAAUGCCAUUGUUCACCAAUCUCAAGACUAGCAUUCCAGUGAUGUUUUGGGACUUUCCUUCUUCGUCAUAGAAUGGCUCAUCCAGUUCUAAUACUUCCAUAUUCAAGGUCACCUUCCUCUUUCUGUUGCCAUCACCACCCCACGCUAAGUAAGACCCAUUGUCAGAUGCCGCCCACCUUCCAGGAGGUGACAGCUGUGGAGCCAGGAGAAGGCAGGAGGACGGGCUGUUCGUUGGCUGUGUGGAUCUGAGCCCUACGGGUCUGGCAGGUGAUUAAGCUCACCAUUUCUCCCAUGGGACUCUUGGGGAAGUCCUGUCACUGGGGACCCCAGCGGGAGUG